rnacentral:lncRNA from 1 species
AGAUCAGCUCCGUGUGGGCGGGUGAGCCCGCAGAUCCACAGAUCUCGGGAGGGACUGGGCAGUGCUGGAGGCUCCGGGACGGGAGGAGGCUCUUGAGUCUAGUGGAAUGGGAAUCACACAGGAUUGGGAGUUAAACAGUAAAUCAGGAUGCCGGUCCCUGUCGACCAACUCUGGGACGGUGAGCAACCUGCCCAGUGAAUGUCAACCUGGGUCUUCACAUCUGUAAAAUGGGAUGAGGAACCCUGAUCAACCUACCUCCAGAGCUGCUAAGAAGGUCCAGUGACUCUCAGGAAAUUCAACUAGACAGACAUGGACAGACGCCUACUAUGCACCAGCACGCUGCGGCGCUCCAGGGACGGAGAGGAGCACACUCUCGCAGAGCUCACCAGCGAGUGGGUGGGAGAGGAGUGCGUACAAACAGGACAGCUCGGACAAGCGCCAGGACUCAGCCUGUUGCCGCAGCUCCUGGGAGUGCCUGCUGAGGGCCAAGUACUGGGGUACAAGGAGGCAAGAGUGGCGGCAGAGGAGCCCAGGGACUGCGUGGGAGUCAAAUCACAGAAGAGCGGCGGCUUCCCCCAGAGCGGCCUCACGUGCAUCCGACUCGUUCAUCCUCAUAACCCGCCAGGUGGAGCCACUGAAUGCUCUCCCCAUUUUACACGUGAGAAAGCUGUGAUCAGAAAGAAUAAACAGCUGUCCCAAGUGCAAAUCCCAGCUGAGUCCUCAGAGGGCAAAUCGUCUCAGAAUUACCAGGGAUGCGUGGCCGGCUACACUUAGGGGAAGCUUCCCAAACCCAGGCCUCCCUGCAGGGUGAAGGAGCCACAUUCGCUCAAACACUGGAGCCUCAUUCAUUCAUUCAUUCAUUCAUUCAACAAUCACUGAGACUGUAUGCGCCACCCUGUGCUGGCCCUGCGGAUGUGGAAAUUCAUCCAAUUCAGUCCCAGAACUCAAGGAGCUCGGAGUCUGGUGGGAAGAUGGGUGUGUAAACGUGAAUCCACGGAGGUGGUGAGAUCUUUGACAGGGGAUGGCGGAAUGCUGCAGAAGCACAAAGGGAAGGUGGGAGGGCUUCCUGGAGGAGGCCUGCUUUGGCUGGGUCUUUGGGCUGCUCUAGACCCUGGAAGCCCUUAGAGCCCGACCCCCUGCCUGGUGCUGCACCCAUUUUACAGAGGAGAGCACUGAGGUCCAGAUAGGGUGAAUGACUUGCCAGGGUCAUAAAAGGAAAGGCAGCUUCGUAUCCGACCUGAAUAAAUAAUGUAUUCUGGAUUUUAAUUAUUUAAAAA